rnacentral:rRNA from 1 species
GCUUACGGCCAUACCACCCUGAGAACGCCCGAUCUCGGCCGAUCUCGGAAGCUAAGCAGGGUCGGGCCUGGUUAGUACUUGGAUGGGAGACCGCCUGGGAAUACCAGGUGCUGUAAGCU